CAGCCGUAAACUAUGCGCGUUAGGUGUAUCGGUGACCACGAGUCACCGAGGUGCCGAAGGGAAACCGUGAAACGUGCCGCCUGGGAAGUACGGUCGCAAGGCUGAAACUUAAAGGAAUUGGCGGGGAGCACCACAACGGGUGGAGCCUGCGGGUUUAAAUUUGGACUCAACGCCGGGAAGCUCACCGGAUAAGACAGCGGAAUGAUUGCCGGGCUGAAGACUCUGCAUGACUAGCUGAGAGGAGGUGCAUGGCGUAGACGUCU
rnacentral:rRNA from 1 species